UACGUAGGUGGCAAGCGUUGUCCGGAUUUAUUGGGUUUAAAGGGUGCGUAGGCGGUCUAUUAAGUCAGUGGUGAAAUAUGGCAGCUUAACUGUCAAGGUGCCAUUGAUACUGAUGGACUUGAGUGAAGUCGAGGUUGGCGGAAUUGACGGUGUAGCGGUGAAAUGCUUAGAUAUCAGGAGGAACACCGGUGGUGUAAACGGCUUUCUGGACCAUAACUGACGCUGAGGCACGAAAGCGUGGGUAGCAAACAGG
rnacentral:rRNA from 1 species